ACUGCUGUGUUUCUCCUCAGAGCUGCUGUGUGUUCUUUAGCAUAUUCCACUAUCUUAUGAUAAAUUGGGAUGGUUUCAGUGUAGUUCUUCACUUACAACUAAGAGUAUUUUACUGCUAGCCUGAUCAUACCGAACAUUAACUUCUGCCCUUUUUAUUGUGAGUUAAUGAUUGGAAACAGGCUGUGGGAAGUAGUCAUUAGCAUUUUGUAUGUUGGAAUAGUGAAUUCAUGAAUUAAAUGUGCAGAAAUAAAGCAGUCAAACCGAAUUCAACGCGGUUUGAAUAUAAAUUAGCCCGUGCCCCCAAAAAACCCCGUGGAAAACCCAGAAGCUCCCUCAGGCGAUCUGUUUGGAGAGACAGGAAAGUGCUGCUGCUACUUGAGUGAUGUCAGUGUUUCACAUCAGUCUGUUGUCGCACAGCAGCUCAGAGCGGCGGACGGCAGCUGUGCGGUUUGGAUGAACACUUUCUCAGCGGUAAAGGAAGACAAAACCGACGACACUCACCGACACAGAGGAGCAUAAACACUUUCUCUUUGAAGCUGUCGUGUCUGUCGUGGGAAAGCACUCCAGCCUCCACAGCUACGAAACGAGAAACAACUCACAGCUACAGCAGCCGAGCCUCCGGACGCUGUACUUUUCCACUGGAACCAUGGUGUCAGCAGUCAUUAAGAUGUAUCUAUUUGGAUCGAUGAUUUCUGUCCUGGCGGUGUUUUACGCAAUAGUGGACUCCUUCGGCGGCCUCAUGUACGUCCAGGAUCAUCACUACAGCCGACCCGUGGAUGUGAACCUUCAAGCUGAAAGGCAGCUCUCCUCAACCAGACACCGGAGAGGAGCGUCCGUGACCAAAAACAUUGGCUCAUGAGGAAGUUGCACUGCUCAACGUGUAAGACAUGCUCUGCACUUUGAAAAGGCACAGACUGUUUGUUGAUACGGACGCGUUGUCCCACAGGAAGUCUCUGUUUGUUCUAUCUUAUGCCAUCAGCUGUCCAGAACUGUAGCAGAUAAUCUGUGUCCAAUCAUCUACAGAUCUGUUGACAUUGUAACAGCACUACUGAACAAUGAUUUGCACUAAAACUUGAAUGUUUUGACUUUUUCUUUUUUCAAUAAAAUGAGUUAAACCAU